GCUUUAGUGGCACACUGGGUCAGUGUGUCUGGCUGUUAACCAGAAGGUUGGUGGGGCGAGCCCACCCAGAGACA